GUGGGGAAUAUUGGGCAAUGGGCGAAAGCCUUACCCAGCAACGCCGCGUGAAGGAUGAAGGUUUUCGGAUUGUAAACUUCUGUCCUCAGGGAAGAACACAAUGACGGUACCUGAGGAGGAAGCCCCGGCUAACUACGUGCCAGCAGCCGCGGUAAUACGUAGGGGGCGAGCGUUGUCCGGAAUUAUUGGGCGUAAAGGGCGCGUAGGUGGCCGAGUAAGUUAUCUGUGAAAUCCCAUGUUUUAAGCAUGGACGUGCAGGUAAAACUGCUUGGCUUGAGUGCAGGAGAGGGAAGCGGAAUUCCAAGUGUAGCGGUGAAAUGCGUAGAGAUUUGGAGGAACACCAGUGGCGAAGGCGGCUUUCUGGACUGUAACUGACACUGAGGCGCGAAAGCGUGGGGAGCAAACAGGAUUAGAUACCCAAGUAGUCC
rnacentral:rRNA from 1 species